rnacentral:snoRNA from 1 species
ACAUGAUGAAUUCCUAGAUGACGAGUCUUAUUGGGGUUUCCCAUGCAGACAAACUUCUUUUAUACCAUUCAUGCAUUCCUGACA